GACGAACGCUGGCGGCGUGCCUAAUACAUGCAAGUAGAACGCUGAAGCGAGGAGCUUACUCUUCUUGGAUGAGUUGCGAACGGGUGAGUAACGCGUAGGUAACCUGCCUUGUAGCGGGGGAUAACUAUUGGAAACGAUAGCUAAUACCGCAUAACAAUGGAUGACACAUGUCAUUUAUUUGAAAGGGGCAAUUGCUCCACUACAAGAUGGACCUGCGUUGUAUUAGCUAGUAGGUGAGGUAAUGGCUCACCUAGGCGACGAUACAUAGCCGACCUGAGAGGGUGAGCGGCCACACUGGGACUGAGACACGGCCCAGACUCCUACGGGAGGCAGCAGUAGGGAAUCUUCGGCAAUGGGGGCAACCCUGACCGAGCAACGCCGCGUGAGUGAAGAAGGUUUUCGGAUCGUAAAGCUCUGUUGUAAGUCAAGAACGGGUGUGAGAGUGGAAAGUUCACACUGUGACGGUAGCUUACCAGAAAGGGACGGCUAACUACGUG
rnacentral:rRNA from 1 species